GGAGACUGGAAGUACAAGAUCAAGGUGCUGGCAGAGUUGGUUUCCUCUGAGGCCUCUCUCCUUGGCUUGCAGAUGGCCACUUUCUUGCCUUUUCUUCACAUGGUCAUCAUGCAGUGUACCCUUGGUGUCUCUCUGUGUGUUCUAGCCUUAUAAGGACACCAGUCAUAAUUGGAUUAGGGCCCUCUCUAAUGCUCUCAUUUUAACUUAAUUACCUCUUCAAAAUACAGUCCAAAUACAGUCAAUUUUGAGGUACUGAGGGGUAAGCCUUCAACUUGAGGGGAACACAAUUCAGCCCAUAACACUGAUAGAAUAAAUUAUCAAUAUCAGGAAUGAAAGCAAGGACAUGACUGUAGAUUUUACAAAGAUUAAAAGGAUAAUAAAAGAUUAUGAACAACUGACAAUAAAUUCAAUUAAAUGGACAGUUUCCUUAAAGAGAACAACUUAACAAAAAUACCACUUAUCACAAUUGACACAGGAGACAUAGAAACUCUGAAAAGCUCUACAUCUUAAACACGCUGAAUUUGUAUCUAAAAACCUUCCCAGAGAGAUAAAAGGAAGAUUUUGGUUCCAUUGGGACACUGAAGUCCACUACAGCUUAUCUCUUUUUGAAUUACAACUAAAAUCUCUUGAGAAUAUUCAUAAGCAACUACCUGAGCAUUCUGAAAAGUAAACAAAAAAUUGUGGAAGGAAGUCAGCAGUUGGAAAAGCAAUCCAUAAAGGAGUAAAUUUUCUGAGUUUCUGUUUUAUAGCUAUGCCCCCAAGGGCAGGCUCAGUUGUAGAAAUGUGUGAUCAUGUAGAUGGCUAGCCUCCAAUAGAACCUUGUUUUCCUGUCCAAAGGAACCACAAAAAGGGAAACUUGCAGGUCAGAAAGUGUAACAAGAAUUCUGGAUUUGGGGAAGGGGAUUACCUAAUCUGUUGUAACAGGCUCACCCCUGGGUUGUGCAUGGACAGGACAAAUCUAAAACAUCAUAACACUUAACAUUUUGACCAUUGCUCAAGACUCAUACUAACCCCUGAAAAGCACAUGUGCAGGUCGGACCCAAAACAGUAUGGCAAAUGCUUUAUGACCUGAAUUAUGAUUUAAACCAGGGCCCAAAUCUCAGACUAAUCCUGGGUGAUGGUUGUAUGGCAAGACAGAACUUUUGGUCUGAGUCUAAACUGAGUUGAUAGACUGGCUAAAAAAAAUUAACAUCCUCCAUAAGAUUAUAAGAGAACCCACAGUCUACACAGUAUUGCAGUCACAAUUUCCAGCAUAUAAUUCAAAGUUAAUUAGCAUAUAAAGUAUGAGUAAAGUGACUAAUUAACCAGGCAAAGGCAACCAACAGAUUUCAAGACAUACAGCUGUAGUAAUCAAGAUGGUGGUAUUGGCAGAGGAAUAAACACACAGAUCAAUGGAACAGAAGGGAGAGCUCCAAAAUAGCAUCAUCACACAAGUAUGGCCAACUGAUAUUUGACAAAGUUGCAAAAGCAUUUUGAUGGAGAGAGGACACUCUUUUCAACAAUGGUGUGGAGUAAUUAAAUAUCCAUAAGCAAAAGAAUAAGCCUAGACCUAAAACUCACACCUUAUACAAAAAUUAACUCAAAGUGAAUCAUAGAUUUAAAAGCAAAGUAUAAAACUAUAAAGCUAAAAGAAGAUAACACGAGAAAAAAGCAUGGUGACAAUUCCAAAUGCUGAUGAAGAUACAGAAAAACAGUCUUGUACAUUGCUGAUGGGAAUAUAGAAUAGUACAGCCACUCUGGUAAAUAAUUUUGCAUUUUCUUUAAAGACAUUUAUCAUACAACCCAGCAAUCACUGUUGAUAUUUAUUCUAGAGAAAUGAAUACAUAAGUCUUCAUUAAAACCUGAACAUGAUUGUUCAUAGCUCUAUUUGUAAUAGCCCAAAAUUGAAACAACCAAAAUAUCUCUCAGUAGGUGAAUAGUUAAACUGAUAUAUGCAGACUAUGGAAUUCUACUCAGCAGUAAAAAGGAAAAAAACUAUCUCUUCAUAUAACAACUUCACUGAAUCUCAAGGGCAUUGUACUGUGUGAAAAAAAAAAUCCAAUUCCAAAAACUCAUACUGUAUAAUUCCAUAUAUAUAUAUGUGGUUCUCAAAAUGAAAAAAUUACAGAAAUGGAAAGAUUAGUGGUUGGUGAAGGUAGGGGUGUAAUUAUAAAACAAUAGCACCAGAGAGGUUUUUGUGGUGAUGGAAUAGUUUGGUAUCUUGACUGCAGUAGUCAUUACACAAAUCUAUACAUGUGAUUAAAUGAUAUUAAACUAUAUAUACACACCAUAUUAAUGUCAUUUCCUGACAAUGUCAUUUGAUAUUGUACUAUAAUUGUAUAAGAUGUAACCAUUGAGGUAAACAGGAUGAAAGAUGCAUAGUGCCUUUCUGUAUUACCUUUGAAACUUUUUAUUCUAUAAUUAUUUCAAAUUAAAACAUUCUCAAAAAUUAAAGAUAUAAUCACUCAAUGAACCUGAAGAGUGAUAAACAGAAGUUAUAGAAUCUGAAGGACAGAAGCAGGGAAAGAUUUUUAAAAGAAAGAAAGAGAAAAGAAAGAGCAUAGCAUCACGGGUCUAUGGAACAAUAUUUUAAAAAUCUAACAUACUUGCCCCUGGAGUUUCAGAAAGAGAGGAUAAAGAGAUUGGGGCCACAAAAAUUAUUUGAAGAAAUAAUGCCCCAAACAUCACAAAUUUAAUGAGACAUACAUUUACAGAGGCAAAAAGUUUGAUGCACCCCAAGCAAGAUAAAGAAAAUAAUACUUAGACACAUUUUAAUGAAACUACUGAAGACUUUUGUAAAAAGAUUUUUAAAAAUCUUAACAGAACUAGAGAAAAAUGAAACAUUACAUAUGGGGCAACAAUGAUUGGGAUGCUCUUGGAUUUCUCAUCAGAAGCCAUGAAACCCAGACAAUGGAAGAACAUCUUUAAAGUGCUCAAAGAGAAGAGUGGUCAACACAGGAUUCUAUGUCCAGCAAAAAUAUCCAUCAGAAUAAAUAAAGAUAUUCUGAGAUGAAAGAAAAUUAUGAGAAUUCAUCAGCAGCAGAUUGAUUCGAGAAGAAUACUUAAAGGAAAUGAUUCAGGCUAAAGAGGAAUACCAAAGAGAAACUUAGACGUUGAAAAAUGAAGGAAAAGCAACACAAAUGGUAAAGAUCUGAGUAAAUUUAACAGUCUAUUUUUCUCCUAUUAGAUUCUUUAAAAUAUGCAUAACUGAUGAAAGCAAAAAAUGAUUGGGACAUAGUCAAUGGGUCUCUCUAACUCUGACACAUGUUGCUAAGCGUGUAAAGGAUUGCCAAGACCCUGACAACUCUUUUAUCCAGGUCAUUUCUCAGGAUUGUUUUUGCAGCUGGAAAGUAUGAAAGGUGAGGUAAUAUCUUCCAUCACAUAAAAAGCUGAUCUGCUUACUGAUUGCCAUAAAAGUGGUAGACCCCUUAAAGCUCCUUUCCUGUGGCCCAAAAAUCCACUAAUUUUGCAGGCUUCAUCAGGCCUUCUGCAUUGCCUUGUGGGUCUUGUGGCUCAGGUAAUCAGCAUAAAAAUACUCUUGCCUCUGCUGUCACCGUAAGUUUCAGAGUCUAGUGUGCAUGUCUACUGUACACCGUCUAGUGUACCUUACCUAGGAUUCUAGUGUGUUCAGUAUCCAUGAAAUGGUAGCAUGCUAACUUAAUAGCUUGAAAGUCGAUUAAAAUAAAUCCCCUCUCAAAACUGUAACACUGCCUGGUAGGAAUAUCAAUAUAUGUAGAUAUAUAUGACAACUAUAACAUAAAGAGGGCAGGGUAAAGCAACCUACAUGGUUGUAAGGCUUCUACAUUUCACUUGAGGUGGUAAAAUAUUAACCUGGAUAUAGUGGGAAAGGUUGAGUAUGUGUAAUUUAAUCUAUAGAGAAACCAUUAAGACAAAGAACCCAAAAGAUUGCCAAAGAGCCAAUAAAUUAAAAUGGAAUAUGAAAGUAUUCAAAUAAUAGAAAUGGAGGUAAGAAAGAAGAUCAAAAUACAGAGGAGACAGCCAGUAAACAAAGUAGAAGACUUAAACCAACUAUAUCAAUAAUUACAUUAAUAUAAAUGAUCUAAACAUACCAAUUAAAAGAUAGAGAUUGUUAGAUUAGACAGUGUUUUAGUUUUCUGGGGCUGCUGUUAAAAUAGUACCACCACCUGAGUGGCUCAAACAGAAAUUUUCUUACAGUUUUGGAGGUUAAAAGUCUGAGAUCAAGGUGUGAGCAGGGUUGAGCCUUCUGAGGGCUGUGAGGAAGAAUCUGCUCCCCUUCUAGCUCCUAGUGGUUAGCUGGCAAUCUUUGGUGUUCCUUGGCUUGUCUGCAUCACCCCAAUCUCUGCCUCCGUAUUCACAUGACAUUCUCCCUGUAUGUGUGUCUUUCUCCAUCAACCCACUUUAUAACGACACCAGCCAUACUGGAUUAGGUGCUUAACCCUACACCAGCGUGGUCUCAUCUUAGCUAAUUAUAUCCACAAAGACCUUAUUUCCAAAUAAGGUCACAUUCUGAGGUACUAGUUAGGAUGUCAACAUGUGAAUCUGGGGGACACACAAUUCAACCCAUAAAUGAUAAACUCAUAGAUGAUAAAUUCAAGUCCUAAAUAUAUGCUGCCUAUGAGAAACUUGCAUUAAAUAUAAAGACACAGGGCUUCCCUGAUGGCGCAGUGGUUGGGAGUCCGCCUGCCGAUGCAGGGACACUAAACGAUCAAAGAUUCCACGGUUUCCCCCUAGGACUAACAAGGCAAAUGUUGGGAAAGGCAGUCUAAUGUGCACUGCCUGUUGACCCCCCCUCCAUCUAGUUUCAGAAGAACAGGGCUUGGGCCUGGAAUACUUCUUUACCAAGAGAUAAGGAACCCAUAUAGUCAGUGCCAGAUUUAUCACCUUGUAUGGGAAUAUCUUCUUUUUCAGACUCAAUGUGUAUUCCUUUGUUCUGCUUAAGUAUUUAUACUCAAUGCGUCAAUGACUCUCAGGCACUCUCCAGCCUUCGUUUAUUUCAGACUCCACGAAGGAGGAAGAGGUGUCCUUCUGCUACAGCACAAGAGGCGUGCAUGCAGGCUAAUUGCCCUGUGUUGGCUGCCUGGUGGGACCCACUGGCCACAGGGAACCAAUGCACACAAUUGGAGCUGAUCUUUCUCUGUCUCUUCUCCAUCAGAUAAUUUCAACUGGAGACAGGGAUGGAUGGAAAAACUUACACUCCCAAGACAUCAGGCCUCACCAGCAAUCUUGGGCUUCUCAUUUAAAUUCCCUGAGUUUUUACUGAAGAAGUUUGCAAAGACCAGGGUGAAGGCUAUAUUGGACUGCCCAGGGAACCACACUCUUCAGGGACUGUGGACAUUAGGAAGACAUGUCCAGUUGACAGUGAACGGCUAAGCCAAGGGCCUCCCUAUUCCCUGAAGCACAACAAUAUUGAAAUUGGGCCAAUUAAUAACCCUACAAUGGCCUCCAAGUGUUCAGGUAAGAGUUGCCCGUCUCUCACUUUAAAUCAAAAGUUAGAAAUGACUAAGCUUAGUGAGGAAAGCAUGUUAAAAGAUGAGAUGGGUCAA